AUGGUCCGUCGGCUCCCGGCGUGCGGGCACCUGUUUCACGCGGGCUGCGUCAACCGGUGGCUGCACCAGCACGCCACGUGCCCGCUGUGCCGCACCAAUGUCAUCGCAGCCGGCGCACCCCAGCAGCGGCCGGCUGAGCUGCCUGUCUGA
rnacentral:rRNA from 1 species